rnacentral:tRNA from 1 species
UGGAUCACCUCCUAACAGGGAGACAAACAACGAUCUUGAUGCUUGAUCCAAUUUGUGAUUAAGCCGAGAUCCUGUCAUCUCGAAGGUCGAUCGGUACCUCAAUUUCAAUGAUCAGAGAGCUUGCUCUGCUGAGACAUUGAUCUUUAGUUCCUAAACGUUGUCUAGGUCACCCCAUAGAGGGUUCACUUCCUGGGCCAUUAGCUCAGGUGGUUAGAGCGCACCCCUGAUAAGGGUGAGGUCCCUGGUUCAAGUCCAGGAUGGCCCAUUCCAAAAUCCAGUUUUGGAUCAUUUGGGGGUUUAGCUCAGUUGGUAGAGCGCCUGCUUUGCAAGCAGGAUGUCAGCGGUUCGAGUCCGCUAACCUCCACUAACAUCUGAACUCCUACGCCAGGAAGAGCUUCUUGGUUGGUGACUAGACGUUGUUCGCUAAGAGUCCACUGGUUAAUUCCAGUUGUAUUCAGCCUCAGCUCAUGUCCGAUCACGGAUUGAGCUGAUGCUGAAUUCACUCCUGAAAGGGAGAGGAUUUAGCAGAACCUUGACAACUGCAUAGGUGAGUCUGGAAAGACAAAAGCAUCUCAUAGAGAUCAGAACGUCUUUCGCCGCAAGGCGAUUGAUGAACUGAUGAUUCUAUUUUUGAGAGCCGAGACCUUCUAGCGUUCUUCCCAAUCCGCCGAGGAGCGGGGAGUUUGAUCCUUGUUUCUAACUGGAGUAGUAAUGCUUUAAGAGAAACUUGAGAGGAUGGGCCUCAACAGCCUGAAGCGUUAGGAGGAUUAAUUGGUCAAGCUACAAAGGGCUCACGGUGGAUACCUUGGCACACAGAGGCGAUGAAGGA